UACGUAGGGGGCGAGCGUUGUCCGGAGUUACUGGGCGUAAAGCGCCCGCAGGCGGUCGCGUCAGUUUGGGGUGACAGCUCCCUGGCUUAACCGGGAGAGGACCUCGAAGACGGCGCGACUGGAGGGCCAGAGAGGGACAUGGAACUCCGGGUGGAGCGGUGAAAUGCGUAGAGAUCCGGAAGAACACCGAAGGCGAAGGCAGUGUCCUGGCUGGUACCUGACGCUCGGGGGCGAAAGCGAGGGGAGCGAACGGG
rnacentral:rRNA from 1 species